GAUGAACGCUGGCGGCGUGCCUAAUACAUGCAAGUCGAGCGAACAGACGAGGAGCUUGCUCCUCUGACGUUAGCGGCGGACGGGUGAGUAACACGUGGAUAACCUACCUAUAAGACUGGGAUAACUUCGGGAAACCGGAGCUAAUACCGGAUAAUAUAUUGAACCGCAUGGUUCAAUAGUGAAAGACGGUUUUGCUGUCACUUAUAGAUGGAUCCGCGCCGCAUUAGCUAGUUGGUAAGGUAACGGCUUACCAAGGCAACGAUGCGUAGCCGACCUGAGAGGGUGAUCGGCCACACUGGAACUGAGACACGGUCCAGACUCCUACGGGAGGCAGCAGUAGGGAAUCUUCCGCAAUGGGCGAAAGCCUGACGGAGCAACGCCGCGUGAGUGAUGAAGGUCUUCGGAUCGUAAAACUCCGUUAUUAGGGAAGAACAUAUGUGUAAGUAACUAUGCACGUCUUGACGGUACCUAAUCAGAAAGCCACGGCUAACUACGUG
rnacentral:rRNA from 1 species